CAUGAUCCAAAAACUGAUAGAAAUUGAAACCCUUUCUUAUCAUUUUUCAGAGAGAAAAAAAACUCAGAGAAAAAACGAAAUCAGUUUUCUCCGUCUCUGAUUGAUGAAGAGAAACCAAUUCAAAAAGUUAUCAUCGUCUCUGAUUGAAGGAGAUUAAACCCAAAAAAAAAUAAUCAUACAAACGUAAUCAGAUCUUCAAUUAUACUCAAAUAUCAGUUCAAUUAAACCCAAAAAUCAACUUCAACCAAGUCAAAAAAUCACUUCAAUAACCUCUACUGAACCAAAAAUGAGUUUCAAUUGAAGAACAAUGGUUGAAACAAGAAGACAAAGUUCAAGAAAUUCGAAAAAACAAAAAGUAGAAUCAACAUCUAACAUCUCGAAAAAAUCAGUAACAGAAAUUCAUAAAUCUCCAAAAGCAGUAACGGGUAAACCAUUUAUAAUUCAUGAAAUGCUCAUAACAUAUUAAUGGCCAAAGAGGGAGUCUACAGAAUAGGAUUGCGCUACACUCUUCAUAAUAUAUGUAUUCUCAAUUCAUGAGAUAUACUUGGUAGCGGGUGAGCAAGGAGCUAGAAGUUCUAUCAAUGGUGAAGAAUUGUAAAAUUCAAUGUUUUGAAAUGCAAACCAGCUUUGGCGACUAUACCUGAAUCAUCUACUUGUUAGAUGUAAUUUAAUGUAGCCAAAUAAUUGAUGUUUUGGAUAGACAAUUAAGAAACAACAUUUUAUGAACUUAAUUUUAGUGUUUGUUGUAAUGUUUGUGUACCACCAAAGAUAUCUUCAGUUGUAAGUUAAGAUACACGAUCUUAGAUUUUUCUCUUAUAGUUUUCUUCCAUA